GUUGAACGCUGGCGGCGUGCCUAAUACAUGCAAGUCGAGCGAACGGACGAGGAGCUUGCUUCUCUGAAGUUAGCGGCGGACGGGUGAGUAACACGUAGAUAACCUACCUAUAAGACUGGGAUAACUUCGGGAAACCUGAGCUAAUACCGGAUAAUAUGUUGAACCGCAUGGUUCAAAAGUAAAAGACGGUUUUGCUGUCACUUGUAGAUGGAUCCGAGCUGCAUUAGCUAGUUGGUAAGGUAACGGCUUACCAAGGCAACGAUGCAUAGCCGACCCGAGAGGGUGAUCGGCCCAACUGGAACCGAGGCACGGUCCAGAAUCCUAAGGGAGGCAGCAGUAGGGAAUCUUCCGCAAUGGGCGGAAGCCUGACGGCACAACGGCGCGUGGGGGGUGAAGGUCUUCGGAUCUUAAAACUCUGUUAUUAGGGAAGAAAAUAUGUGUAAGUAACUCUGCACUGCUUGAAGGUACCUAAUCAGAAAGCCACGGCUAACUACGUG
rnacentral:rRNA from 1 species